GGAAGCACCGGCUAACUCCGUGCCAGCAGCCGCGGUAAUACGGGGGGUGCAAGCGUUGUUCGGAAUUAUUGGGCGUAAAGCGCGUGUAGGCGGUCUGAUUAGUCUGAUGUGAAAGCCCUGGGCUCAACCCAGGAAGUGCAUUGGAUACUGUCGGACUUGAAUACGGGAGAGGGUAGUGGAAUUCCUAGUGUAGGAGUGAAAUCCGUAGAUAUUAGGAGGAACACCGGUGGCGAAGGCGGCUACCUGGACCGAUAUUGACGCUGAGACGCGAAAGCGUGGGUAGCAAACAGGAUUAGAUACCCUGGUAGUMCACGCCGUAAACGAUGAGAMCUAGRUGWCRCGGRUMMYRKKAGAR
rnacentral:rRNA from 1 species